GACAGAGGGUGCAAACGUUGCUCGGAAUCACUGGGCGUAAAGGGCGUGUAGGCGGGUAGAUAAGUCGGGGCGUGAAAUCCCUAGGCUCAACCUAGGAACUGCACUCGAAACUGUUUAUCUUGAGUGCCGGAGAGGAAAGCGGAAUUCCUGGUGUAGAGGUGAAAUUCGUAGAUAUCAGGAGGAACACCAGUGGCGAAGGCGGCUUUCUGGACGGUAACUGACGCAUGAGACG
rnacentral:rRNA from 1 species